rnacentral:rRNA from 1 species
CUUGAACGCUGGCGGCAGGCCUAACACAUGCAAGUCGAACGAGUGGAGGACGGGUGCGUAAUGUCUGGGAAACUGCUCGCCGGAGGGGGAUAACCCCUGGAAACGGUCGCAAAUACCGCAUUCCAUCGCCUGUCCCCAGCUGGGAGUAGCUAUUUCGUGGGGUAACGGCUCACCUAGGCAACGAUCCCGAGCUGGUCUGAGAGGUUGACCAGAGAGACAGGAGUGUAGACACGGUCCAGACUCCUACGGGAGGCAACAGUGGGGAGUAUCUGACAAUGGGGGCAAGCCUGAUGCAGCCAGGCCGCGUGUAGGAAUAAGGCCUUCGGUUUGUAAAGUACUUUCAGCGAGGAGGCGUUACUCGCAGAAUAAGCACCGGCUAACUCCGUGCCAGCCGCCGCGGUAAUAC